GCCCUCGUAGCUUAAUGGAUAAAGCUGGACGCUUCUAUCGUCAAGAUUGCAGGUUCAACUCCUGCCGAGGGUA
rfam:Candidatus Levybacteria bacterium RIFCSPHIGHO2_01_FTLL_41_15 rifcsphigho2_01_scaffold_10187, whole genome shotgun sequence.